CCACAUUGGUCGAUUGGGAAACUCAUCAAUUACAUCAACGAAACGAGUUAGUUUUUUCUGUCAAUGGCGGGUCGCAUCCUUCGGGACAUGCAUUUAUGCACAGCGAAUUACAGACACAGCGAAGCGCUCAAAUCCUGACUAUAGGAGUUUCGUCUUAUUCCACCAAUGUGGCUUUA
rnacentral:sRNA from 1 species